UCUUACAAAGGGGCGAGUGAGAAUUCCUAACGCUGCUUAAAACUGCUCAAAACCUGCAUCUGUCAGCUGUCUUGUAUCCAUUGGAGCUGGAAAAUGUUUAACCGCUCUUCCUUCUUCACACUGAAUCAAUGCUGUUGACUGAAUAUCCCAUUCUUUUAUCCAGUAACUUUGAAGUAGACUAGUGUUCGUUUUUGUGACCCCGUGGGGUCAUUUUGCGACGCUCCCUUAAGGCAGGCGUCCUUUUAAAGUUACCGCUGAGCGUGCUGUCGGGGUGUGAGGCUGCUUAAAGAAAGAAGCUUCGCCUUGUGUUCAGAAUCAGAUGUGGUGCUGCUGGAGAGUUCACUCACCGUCUGCUAGCUCCAGCCAAAACGUACCACGAACCCUUUUCCUUUUUUAGUUUUUUAUUUAUUUCAUCCGCUCCUCUGAUAAGCCUUUUCAAAACAAGAUGUAACUCCCCACCGAACAUUUACAUCCUCAUUUGAAUAAACCUACAUGCUUUUAAAGAGCCGGGAUGAACAUCACUGAUGGAAGUUAUUGUGGCUGAUGGUUUUAACUAUGGAAUCAUCAGCGAUCGAAGAGGGAAUUCUGCACAGCCAAGCGAACUACAGGGGAUUUAAAUCGCAUUGCUCCGGG